UGGGGAAUUUUGGACAAUGGGCGAAAGCCUGAUCCAGCAAUGCCGCGUGUGUGAAGAAGGCCUUCGGGUUGUAAAGCACUUUUGUCCGGAAAGAAAUCCUUGGCUCUAAUACAGUCGGGGGAUGACGGUACCGGAAGAAUAAGCACCGGCUAACUACGUGCCAGCAGCCGCGGUAAUACGUAGGGUGCAAGCGUUAAUCGGAAUUACUGGGCGUAAAGCGUGCGCAGGCGGUUUGCUAAGACCGAUGUGAAAUCCCCGGGCUCAACCUGGGAACUGCAUUGGUGACUGGCAGGCUAGAGUAUGGCAGAGGGGGGUAGAAUUCCACGUGUAGCAGUGAAAUGCGUAGAGAUGUGGAGGAAUACCGAUGGCGAAGGCAGCCCCCUGGGCCAAUACUGACGCUCAUGCACGAAAGCGUGGGGAGCAAAACAGGAUUAGAUACCCUGGUAGUCCACGCCCUAAACGAUGUCAACUAGUUGUUGGGGAUUCAUUCCUUAGUAACGUAGCUAACGCGUGAAGUUGACCGCCUGGGGAGUACGGUCGCAAGAUUAAAACUCAAAGGAAUUGAC
rnacentral:rRNA from 1 species